CGGAACUUCAUCCGGUGUGAGAGGCCUGCUCCGUUUCCAUGGUGAUAUAAAACUAACGCUCCGUGUCUUCAGAGAACACCUGCGUGGUAAAAAGAUGUGUCAGGAAGCUGAUGAGUCAGUGUUGUAUUGGAAAGCACGCUACAUUGUUCAUGCUAUUUCUUUUCAGGAAAACUUCACAAAAUAAUGCAAUUCAGUACAAACCCACCACUGAGUAUUAUGUGCUGUUACAUAUAAAUUGACACAUAAAUGAAUGUACCAUCUUGAUCACUAUUUAAGUAAAGGGGGUUAUGUUAACACUGUAUAUUAACUGUAUGUAGUCUUGUUAGUGUAAACGCUGGCUCCCUACUUUAACAUUUAGUAAUACAGUACCUAUUAAAUUUCUAAGAGUGUGUAAACGGA